CGGGUGAGUAACGCGUGGAUAAUCUACCCUUAAGAUGGGGAUAACGGCUGGAAACGGUCGCUAAUACCGAAUACGCUCCCGAUUUUAUCGUUGGGGGGAAAGAUGGCCUCUGCUUGCAAGCUAUCGCUUAAGGAUGAGUCCGCGUCCCAUUAGCUAGUUGGCGGGGUAACGGCCCACCAAGGCGACGAUGGGUAGCCGGUCUGAGAGGAUGACCGGCCACACUGGAACUGGAACACGGUCCAG
rnacentral:rRNA from 1 species